UACGUAGGGUGCAAGCGUUGUUCGGAAUUACUGGGCGUAAAGCGCACGUAGGCGGACCAGUCAGUUGGGGGUGAAAUCCCGGGGCUCAACCCCGGAACUGCCUCCAAAACUGCUGGUCUGGAGGUCGAGAGAGGCGAGUGGAAUUCCGAGUGUAGAGGUGAAAUUCGUAGAUAUUCGGAGGAACACCAGUGGCGAAGGCGGCUCGCUGGCUCGAUACUGACGCUGAGGUGCGAAAGCGUGGGGAGCAAACAGG
rnacentral:rRNA from 1 species